UACGAAGGGAGCGAGCGUUGUUCGGAAUCACUGGGCUUAAAGCGUGCGUAGGCGGAUUAGUAAGUCAGAAGUGAAAUCCCGGGGCUUAACCCCGGAACUGCUUUUGAGACUGCUAGUCUUGAAUUCGGUAGAGGUUAGUGGAAUAUCUAGUGUAGAGGUGAAAUUCGCAGAUAUUAGAUGGAACACCAGUGGCGAAGGCGACUAACUGGACCGACAUUGACGCUGAGGCACGAAAGCGUGGGUAGCAAACAGG
rnacentral:rRNA from 1 species